GUGACCUUGCUUUUCAAAGUGCUCUAAUGGCAAGGACAUGAAAAGGACACUCUAUGCCAGUGACUUAUUUGACUAUUUUUCAGGGUGGGAACUCAGUUGGAUUUGCUGUGGGGAAAGCUGCUGCUGUGUNNNNNNNNNNNNNNNNNNNNNNNNNNNNNNNNNNNNNNNNNNNNNNNNNNNNNNNNNNGGGCUGUGAUGAAAUGCCGCCGAAUGUGCCAGUAGAUCCCGGAAGAGAGUUUUGUUAAAGAUUAAUGCAGCCUCCAUCUGCUUUACUGUGUGUGGGGCUGGGACACGGCGGGGGCCUCCCCCGGCACUUGUGCCCUGGACUAGAAUCAGAACAAGUGCCUGAGCGGGUCGUCAGAGCAAGGCCCAGAGCGGAGUGGUCGAGGGGAAGGGGACAGGGAGGUUGGACGAGGCAGAGUCACACCCAGGGCUGGUCUUACGCGGUUCCUGCGUCGUGUCACUUUUGUCCUCUGAGGCGCAGACACUGAUACAGAAUUGGGAAUGAAAGAGGGUUCCUAGAGGUACCACCUGAGGGAGACAGAAGGGGUGGGAGCAGAAUUGGGCGGGAAACCUUGGGACCGGGACGCAGACCCCGCACCCCUGCCGGGAGAAGGAGGAAGCAGCAGGUGUGGGCAGAGAGCCGUGCCGGUGACCAAGCCCUGGCCAACCACCCGGGGAGCCCCAGAGCGGACUGCGCAGUGGAGCAGUCCCAGGUUGGGCAGAGAGGGCUGGCCCCAAGUCCCCUCGCCCGGGCACUCUUCCCGGAGGCUGCCUAGGAGAAGUGUGCCUUCAGCUCAAGAGCCAGGCUGAGUCUGGUGGCACGAACAGCUGGAAGUGUCAGCUAACCGCCGUCCUUGCAGCUGAACGCCAAGUUCUUUCUCGAAUAGAGAUCCAGGCGGCACACCUCAUGGCUGACCCCUCGGGGCCUCCGUUGCUGGGACAGGGCAGGGCUGUCAAAGGGCAAAUGAGGGAACAGCCCAGCUCAAACCCCUACCGUACCCCACCCACCUCCAGCGGCAGGCCCGGGGCCGAAGGCAGGUCCUCAGCUGCUGCUGCUUUUCUAGCCUUGGCCUGAGCAGCCUUGGCAGCAAGAGUCCUCCUUGUGGGGUCUGCGAUCCUCCGAGUUGAGUCAUUGUGACGUCUUUGGUAUCACAGGAUGAACAGGAGAAGUGGAUCACGUCGAAGGCAUGACGGUUUGCGUGAAUGAGGGCAGCUGGGAUCAGAACAGGAGGGCGCAUCGCUCACUUCCUGUGGCUCUCAGUUAAUGGACCUUCCGUUUGCAGGUCGUCAGCGCCUGCAUGGCCAGAGGGGGCUGCUGGGCAGUUGUGCAGGUUGUGCACUGUUCACGGGCAUCUGGGAGGAAAGAAAUGAGUGCACUCAGGGGAGGCUGGAUCAACCCAGAGGGAGGGGUGCCAGUUUAUGUUCACACGGAGGUGCCCAGUGCGCUGAAGGAGGCCUUGGAAGAUGCUCAGAAGGCUCUGCCUCUUCGCCCUGAUGGCUGCUACCUGCUGACUCUUUGCUUUAAAUUUGCACAAAUGUGUUUAAACAGUGCCUACAGCUGUUAGGAAACAAAAGGAAACGCUUCCGCCCUCCCUCCCUCAGGGAAUGUCUGUAUUCGCUGCAGUUGGUGCCACCUGUGGUUAAAGACGAUCCCAAAACAGCCCCUUCGACCGUAAAAGCUGAUUUCUCCCUGGCAUCCUGGCCCCGUGACUUGGGGGCCGUCGGGGAGGCCCGGGCUUCGGUCCUCAGCGCUGGCUCGGCGGGUGGGGAGGUCUCAGUGUGCCCGGAGGGGCCAGCUCCUCUGCCACAGUCCACCAGCCCCACGGGUGCUGAGCGCUGGGAUGCGUGUCUGCGAGUGCCGAGCAGAGGCCGGGGGCAUCCGCUCUCAGUCUGGUCUGUGGCGGCCUCUUCUUAGGAAGCUGUCCUCAGAAAAGUGGAAAGAUCACACGGUGAGCAGCCGUGGGCCCCCCACGUGGACUCCGAAGUGACCAUUUCGCUACAUUUGCUUCAUCCUUCUCUUCAUCCCGCUAUCCACCCAUUAGUCUCCCUUAUUUUAUUUUUGCUUUUUAGGGCCUCCCCCACUGUGUAUGGAGGUUCCCAGGCUAGGGGUCCAAUCAGAGCUGUAGCCGAGGGCCUACACCACAGCCACAGCAACGAGGGACCUGAGCCAUGUCUGCCACCUACACCGCAGCUCAUGGCAACACCCGAUCCUUAACUCGCUGAGUGAGGCCAGGAAUCGAACCCGCGUCCUCAUGGAUGCUAGUCGGGUGUGUUAACUGCUGAGCCACAGCGGGAGCUCCUCGUAUUUUUUUGGAUACAUUUCAAAAAAAUGGUAGUUAUGUCUGUAAUUCUGCACAGUAUGCUGUUCCUCUAAUGUUUCCUGGUGUAUUAGCUUUCAAGCCUGUCUAGUAACCCUCACCGAAAGUGAGCAAUUAAGCACACUUUUAAUCUUAGAGUCCUCUCCUCCCCACUCCUGCAGUCAUACUUAAGUUUUCUAAGUCUGUUGUUAGUCAAGUGUUAGUGGUGGAAAAAAGCUGUGGGGAUGUCGUUGUAAACGUCUGUAAAAUUCUGACUUUGCUGUGUGACAUUUUCAUUCAGGAGUUCCCUGGUGGCCUAGUGGUUAAGGACCUGGUGUUGUCCUGCUAGGCCAGGGAGUUUCUGCGUGGUGUGGGCGUGGCUAAAAUGUUAAAAACAGAAACUUUCAGUCAAAAGACAAAAAUUCUAGGGCAAUCUUUUAUCAUUUACCACGUGUGCUUUUUGACCAAGCCGCUCUGAGCAAGUUCUUUACUAGGUAAAUGGGCAUAUGCUGUCCCUAAAUUUCAUCUAUCUUUUCCACUCACACGCUCCAACCAGACCUAUUCGUGGUCUACUUUCAGUGGUUAGAAUGUUCUAUUUCCUCAUCCGUACUGUUAAAUCUUCUGUGCAUGUUUGUAGGUUGGUUCUAAAAAUUGAAAACCAAUCAGCAUUUAAACUAUAGGAUCGCUUCUCUAUUACUCACCGGAAAACCAGGUGGUGCUUUUAGGUGUAGAAGAGAAAUGUGAGCGUCUGUCAUCAGCUUGUGAUCUGUGCCAGCAGGAAAACAGAAGAUGUCAGGAGACUGGAAAGUACUGUUGUUACUUAUUUUUAAAAUUAUCUUGGGAGUUUCCGUCCUGGCUCAGCGGAAACGAAUCCGACUAGUUUCCAUGAGGUUGUGGGUUUGAUCCCUGGCCUCGCUCAGUGGGUUAGUGAUCUGGGGUUACUGUGAGCUGUGGUGUAGGUCGAAGAUGCGGCUCGGAUCCUGCAUUGCUGUGGCUGUGGUGGCAGCUGGCAGCUGCAGCUCUGAUUGGACCCCUAGCCUGGGAACCUCCAUAUGCCAUGGGAGCAGCCCUAAAAAGACUAAAUAAAUAAACAAAUGAAUGAAUAAAAUUAUCUUGGAGUUCUCUUGUGGCUCAGCAGAUUAAGCACCUGACAGUAUCCACGAGAAUGUGGGUUCGAUCCCUGGCCUUGUUCAGUGGGUUAAGGAUUCGGUGCUGCCACAAGCUGCAGUGUAGGUCCCAGACGAGGCUUGGAUGCUGUGUUUCGGUGGCUGUGGGGUGUGGUGUAGGUCACAGACGCUGCUUAGAGCCUGCGUUGCCAUGGUGUUGGACAGCAGCUGCAGCUCGGAUUGGACCCCUAGUGUGGGGAACCUCCUUACAUCACAGGUGCAAGGGAGGCCCUAAAAACGGAAGUAGUUACCUUAGCAUGCUUUUCCUCUCCUAGCCGUCUUGAUUCGACAGGUCGUUGCAGAGAAGUCAUUUUCUUCUUAAAGACAGGGGGCCCCGAGGGUUAAGAGCUUGGGCUCUGGAGCCAGACUGCAUAUUCAGAUCCCACUUAAGUCACUGGGAGACUUUGGGCAAGUGAUUUCACCCUAGAAAAGGGGUAGUGGUCUAAUCUCCGUCUUUGGGGUGUUGUGCUCAUUCAUAGGUUGAAACACAUGAAGGGUGAGAACAGGCUGACCUGUCCUAGAAAGGGCCUCGGAAGCGUCGUUGUUACUAUUCCUGGCCUUGCGACUCAGUGUGCGGUUUGGACGUGGUUGCCCUCUGGUCCUGUUGCCCUGGGUGAGCCCACGGCUUCUUGAAUCCUGUUUCUCUUUCGUGCCUUUCCUUGGCUUUGGCAGGAGCAUCUCCUGUGAUCCUUUGUUGCUGAAAUUUGAUGUACGCUCUCAUCUCUAGGUUCACCUUUCUCUUCCAGUUUUCCUGUUGAUUUUUAAAAUUUCAUCAAAUGUAUUUUCUGUUUCCAAAAUUGUUUGUUAUGCUCUGUAUCAUCUUAUUCAUAGCAGUUUGGGGUGUGGAGUUAAGGCGGAGGGGAGUAGCGUUGGUUGGAGGGCUUGAGCAGAUGAGUUAUUGGCUUCUGUUGUCCUUAGUUUUAGAUUUCAAGGAUGCAGAAGUCUUUACAAUAUUCACAAAGAAGAUAAUACAGCAUUUUUCUCAGAUGUAUUUUGUUCUGUGGAAGAAUUUCAAAGUGGAACUAGUGUCCAUAGAGACAUACUUUGGAAAAAUGCAGCCUUUUAGGAUUAAAAAGAUCAGUUAUAACACAUAGUAAAAAAAAUGAGAAUCAAAUAUAUCUGUGAUGGGUUAAACUCACUUAAAAAAAGAUCCUCUUUUUCUAGAUUAAAGCAGAAAACAAAAUAUAUAUGCUGCAGAAAAGCUUAUUCAGAUGUUACUUUGAUUUUUAAAAUUACCAGAAUUAAAGUUGUGAAUAAUAAACUAGUUCAAGGAGUUCCCUUGUGGCUCAGCAGGUUAAGGAUCUGGCAUUGUUACUGCUGUGGCUUGGGUCACUGCUGUGGUACGGGUUUGAUCCCUGGCCCAGGAACUUCCACAUGCCAUGGGCACAGUCAAAAAAAAAAAAAA
rnacentral:lncRNA from 1 species